CAUCUCCCAACAUGUGAAAUCGGACACCUACUUUCUCAACCCUUCCCAAACAGUCUUAUCUGCAAUUCCAGCUGUCACUAUAACAGUAUACAAAACAUUCGCGCAAUUCAAACUUUAACAGAAGCAACUGACUCCACAAGUUCAGAAGACUGACUUCGAUAAAAAGUCGCCUUUAACUUGCGGUUUAAGAAAACAGGAGAAGAAGCACGGACGGAGGGCGGGAGGAAAGGGAAAGCCAAAGGGGUGUUUCCUCUCCAGCAGAGGAAGGAUUGAAGUAGUGAGAAAUAAUUCAUUAAACUGCGCGAAAUGUGUAAAUACAUUGAAGUUUAGGUGACAGUCGCGAUGUCGACCUCAGUUUUCCGAUAAAAGCCUGUCUGUGCUGGACUAGCAUCACUCUCCAACGGAUGGAGGAGAAUCCAGACAGCGACAGGCAUUAUGAGAGGACCACAGAUGACCCCUCACCCUCUAGCCAGGGGACCAAACAGAACAGUGAAGAGCCCCCCCUGGGUGAUCACGAUCUACCCAUCAUGCAGUGGGAGGAUUUAAGUUUACGGAUUGCAGAGCUAGAAAGGCAGGAAGAGGAAAGAAGAAAAAAAGCAGAGAGUCUGGGUUUAUCAGAGCGAGACAGAAUACUUGGAUGCUGGACAGGGUCAAAACACCAUUCACUCCACCGGGAGCCAUGGGCAGAUGAGAACGACUACAGUCCCUGUCGUGUUCCAGUCAUAACGUCACGAUUUAAUAGCCCUAAAAAUCUUCAGCUCUGUUUCAUCAACAACAGUGAGAGUGAGGGGGAGGAUGACGAAGGGGCAUCUAGCAAAGAGAGCUCAUGUGAGGUGGAGGUACGUGGGAGUUGCUCUCCUGGGCUAAAACAGGAAGUGAAAGCAGCACUCAGGGCUCUCAGAGACAAGCUAUGGGCCGAACAGAAAGAGAAAGAGCAAGAAGCCACCCACAGUAACAUGAACAUAAGAAGAAAGAUUCUUAGCCUUAGUGAUCUGCAGACAUGCUCUUUACUGCAGCUGAAUGCGCUCAGGGCCUCACUGAAUGAAGACAUUCAAGAUUUGAGCUCAGAACUGGUGAAACAUCUUGUAGUACGAGACCACCUUCGGACUAAGCAAGAUGCUUUGCUCCUGGAUGUACAGGAUAUGACAUCAUUGUGAACGAUUUUUGUUUGCAACAACUGCGUAGAUGCAGUUCAACGUUGGCACUUUCUGAAAGCAGUAAUUUACUGUUACUCAUCCUGUGGACUAACAAGGCCAGAAUAUCCUGUUUGUUCUUGAAGAAAUGUAGCCCUCAAAGAAACUUUUGCUAAAAUGUGAGUCAUUGAUUAUAGUCACAAGUUUUAUUGUGAAAAAAAGUGCCUUAACAACGAACCCUAAUGGCUCUGAUUCAUGUCUCAUCACUUAUGGUUUAAUUUUGCAUCUGUUAAUAGAGAAUAUAAUAAGCUGCUGUUAAAGCCAUAUGUGAUCAAUAACUGUGAUGUAUUAAUCAUCUGUUACAUUAAGCAUUCCAUUGAAAUACAGUAUAUGUAAUCGUCAUAAGAAUAUAAACGGUGUGAAUUAUGCUGUGUCAUAUGAAUGUGCCUUACAACUUUCCUGUGUAUCAUACUUAUACAUGAGAAUGAAUAUCUCAGUGCUAAAUAUUCGCAAUAAUUUAAUAAAGCAUUUAUUUUAUAUUUUAUACAAA